GCGCCUGUAGCUCAGCUGGAUAGAGCAGCGGACUUCUAAUCCGCAGGUCGCAGGUUCGAGUCCUGCUAGGCGCGCCA
rnacentral:tRNA from 1 species